rnacentral:rRNA from 1 species
GAUGAACGCUGGCGGCGUGCCUAAUACAUGCAAGUCGAGCGAACAGACGAGGAGCUUGCUCCUCUGACGUUAGCGGCGAACGGGUGAGUAACACGUGGAUAACCUACCUAUAAGACUGGGAUAACUUCGGGAAACCGGAGCUAAUACCGGAUAAUAUAUUGAACCGCAUGGUUCAAUAGUGAAAGACGGUUUUGCUGUCACUUAUAGAUGGAUCCGCGCCGCAUUAGCUAGUUGGUAAGGUAACGGCUUACCAAGGCAACGAUGCGUAGCCGACCUGAGAGGGUGAUCGGCCACACUGGAACUGGGACACGGUCCAGACUCCUACGGGAGGCAGCAGUAGGGAAUCUUCCGCAAUGGGCGAAAGCUUGACGGAGCAACGCCGCGUGAGUGAUGAAGGUCUUCGGAUCGUAAAACUCUGUUAUUAGGGAAGAACAAAUGUGUAAGUAACUAUGCACGUCUUGACGGUACCUAAUCAGAAAGCCACGGCUAACUACGUG